rnacentral:rRNA from 1 species
GACGAACGCUGGCGGCGUGCUUAACACAUGCAAGUCGAACGGAAAGGCCCCUUUGGGGGUCCUCGAGUGGCGAACGGGUGAGUAACACGUGAGUAACCUGCCCUUGAUUUCGGGAUAACUUCAGGAAACUGGGGCUAAUAACGGAUAGGAAUCCUAGCAGCAUGGUGGGGGUUGGAAAGCUUCGGCGGUUUUGGAUGGACUCGCGGCUUAUCAGCUUGUUGGUGGGGUAGUGGCUUACAAAGGCUUUGACGGGUAGCCGGCCUGAGAGGGCGACCGGCCACAUUGGGACUGAGAGACGGCCCAGACGCCUACGGGAGGCAGCAGUGGGGAAUAUUGCACAAUGGGCAGAGGCCUGAUGCAGCAACGCCGCGUGCGGUAUGACGGCCUUCUGGUUGUAAACCGCUUUCAGCAGGAGCGAAGCUUGUGGUGACGGUACCUACAGAAGAAGCACCGGCUAACUACGUG